GACGAACGCUGGCGGCGUGCCUAAUACAUGCAAGUCGAACGCAGUGGGGACGGGUGAGUAACACGUGGGUAACCUCCCAUCAGAGGGGAUAACACUUGGAAACAGGUGCUAAACCGAUAUUGAUGGAUGUACCCGCGGUGCAUUAGCUAGUUGGUGGGGUAACGGCUCACCAAGGCCACGAUGCAUAGCCGACCUGAGAGGAUGACCAGCCACACUGGAACGGAGACACGGUCCAGACUCCUACGGGAGGCAGCAGUGGGGAAUAUUGCACAAUGGGCGAAAGCCUGAUGCAGCCAUGCCGCGUGUAUGAAGAAGGCCUUCGGGUUGUAAAGUACUUUCAGCGGGGAGGCGUUACCCGCAGAAGAAGCACCGGCUAACUCCGUGCCAGCAGCCGCGGUAAUUC
rnacentral:rRNA from 1 species